UUUAAGCCCCAAAUAUAAAGCCUCAGCUUUUUUUAGAA
rnacentral:tRNA from 1 species